UUGGUCUACAUUGGAGCAACAGGCAAUCUGCUGGAGGCAUGCACCAGCUCAAGCGGCAUCUGUGGGAAAAGAGUGGAAAUUUCUACUUUUCUGGUCCAAAAUCUGCAAAAUCUGGACUAGAGGAACAGUAUUCUACAACCUGAGAGCAUGAACUUCGAAUUUGCCAACUUCCGGCAUUCACAAGAAAACAAAGAAAUACAAUCGAAUCAAUGAAAAGCUGCGCAGAAAGAAAGACUGACAACAAGCAAUGUCCAAGUGUGCAACUGUGCAAUAAAUAGACAAAUAAAUAAUACCGAGAACAUCAGUUGUAGAGUCCUUGAAAGUGAGUCAAUAGGUUGUGGAAUCAAUUCAGAAUUGAGAAUCUGGGCAUUGCUGAGAAGGGCAUCAUUUACACAGAUCUCUGUUUGCCCUUAAGAAAAUGGUUGUAAGCCGUCUUAAAUUCUGUUGUCACGCUGACGAAGAUACUCCUGCAGAACUUUUGGGAGAAAAGGAAAAACUCCAAAUGUCACUCUCCAUCAAAUGAAACAGCAACACACGAACAUAUUCCAGCAGUACGCACAGAAAAUGUUAACAUAUGUCCAACUUCAAUUGCAACAGAAUCUACCUGUGUAACAUAUGACCAUAAUCACCAGGGGCAUUGUCUGGAUCGUGAAGGCUGCCAGUUCCAGUGGAGGCACAAUAAUAAUCUCCAGGGGCAGCAUCUUCAUUGUGAAAAAUGACGGCUCCACGAUGCUGACAACACCACAACUACCAGGAGAAGCUUGCAGCUUGCUGCUUGUCUUUUACAGUUGUAAUGGAAAAUAAGAUAACAAAAGCAAAACAAAGUUUAUCAAAAAUGUACUGUUUUUCAAUAAUUGUGCUCCUGUUAACAUUUUGCUCUACAAUAUACAGUACUUCAUCAGUA